rnacentral:rRNA from 1 species
AGCGAACGCUGGCGGCGUGCCUAACACAUGCAAGUCGAACGUGAAAGGGAGCAAUCCUGAGUAAAGUGGCGUACGGGUGAGUAACGCGUAGGUAAUCUACCCCAAAGUCUGGAAUAACCGACCGAAAGGUUGGCUAAUACUGGAUAGAGCGAUGGAAUCCGUAAUUGGGUUUUUCGGGAAAGGGAGGAAGCAAUUCCCUUUGCUUUGGGAUGAGCCUGCGUCUCAUUAGCUAGUUGGCGGGGUAAGGCCCACCAAGGCUUUGAUGGGUAGCUGGUCUGAGAGGAUGAUCAGCCACACUGGAACUGAAACACGGUCCAGACUCCUACGGGAGGCAGCAGUGGGGAAUCUUGCGCAAUGGACGAAAGUCUGACGCAGCCACGCCGCGUGAGUGAAGAAGG